rnacentral:lncRNA from 1 species
CUUUAGAAAGGGUUCUCUCCACCACCCUGAUCGUUCGGGGUGUCCGGCUCUGCCUUCAGCCAACGUGCAACUGAUGCAGCAUUGUCAGUGAUGCAGCAUUGUCCCAACAUUCUGAUCCCUCUCCAGUGCUGUGCUGGCUCCGUUCAGUGAGAAAAACACCAAGCUCAGGACAUUCCAGCUCCCUGUGCUUCAGUUGUCACCUCGUGUGUAUUUUGGAUUUCCUUGCCCAGUGGAAGCAGCAUUGAGUGCCUGAGGCUCUAGUUGAAGUAAAAGGUUGCUCUUCCUGAGCUGGGACUGACCAUCUGACUCACUUUAACAUCUUGUUUGAACUUCUGAGAAAAUGUUUCCCUCUCCAAGGAAAACACUUCCGUGGAGCUAUUUAUAUCUUUAGAAGGUGAAAAAAAAGAUGUGCAGAGGAGAGGAAACCACAGGGAGUGGCCCUGUAUAAUCCCCUGGUUCAGCGAGUGCCUAAGUGGCUUGUGUCAACCAUUGGC